rnacentral:lncRNA from 1 species
CGUUAACUGUGCUACGGCCUCAUUUAGGCAUAUACUACUGAACAAUAUAAACAAAUGAUAUAAAAAAAAAAAAUCCCAGCCUCUUUCAUUUUCAAAUAGUAUGUAAAUAUUCUGAAUGAAUAAAAAUUGAAAAGAUAUGCGAGUCCUGUCAUGUUUUUGGAGCCAUUUUUUGUUUGGUAUUGAAGGGAAAAACGGUCUGUCUAGUUACUGGACCAGAUAAAAUGAGACGGAGAGGUAAUAAAGUCUGUCGGCACGAGGACCUUGGAUUUAUUAAGUAAAGUGGCAACGGUUAUACAGAGUCAUAAAGCGUGAGAAAUCGAAUAUGUCUAAGUCCCUAAUCAGCGCUGAUGGUUCGUCCGGAGCUUCGCCUCCGUGGAAGGUCUGCUUCAGAAGAAGGUGAAGAGUCUCAGAGUGAUACAGUCUUAUGCUGUAUCUCCUCGUGAUGAGGUGUGUGCGUUUGAGAUGUGUGUGUGGUUCUGUGUGGUUUUACUUGACCUUGGCUCCCAGGCACUAGUGUAUGCAUGUAUAUCUUCUUGUGUUCCUCCUCACGGGGGAGAGCUUCAGAGCAUCUCCUGUUGUGGUCCUCCCGUUCUUGAGGAUGACUGGUGCAUUGUCUGAGUGUCUACCAUCUGCCGGGAGGAGAAAUGGGGCCCUGGCUCCGGCCCUGACCUGACUAUAUUCUCAUGUAUGUGUUAUGUGUUAAAAGUUGACUAUAUUAUAAGGUGACUGCCAUGUGAUGUGCUCAUUAAGCUAGGGUAGGAGUUAGCUAUAUUUAUAAUGUACAUGUGAUGUGCUCAGCAGGUUAUUUUGCCCAACAGUAUGAUGUUUGAUUUAUUAAUUAAUAUACAAGAUGAUUUGGGCUUGGUUAUUUGAGUUAAAUGUUUGUUUUAUCUGUUUUCAUUUAGUAAAAACCUAUUUUGCAUUUGACAUGUUGGGGACGCCGUAUUUGGAUGAAUGUAGCGCACCUGUGGGUAUUUAGGAGAAGAGCCACAGGUGAAUAGCCAGACGGGAAGCGGUACAGUUUUUAAGCCGCUCAGUGACAGCUCUUUUGAUAUAUGUGAAAAAGGUUUAUGUUGAUCCUCAUGUUUGCUUUUUGCUUUCGGUUAAAUAAAUACCACAAAGCCAAGACGGACGAUCCCUGCCUUUUAUUUUUGAAGCGAAGGGGCGAGCGUGUCUAAAACCCACAAUCCCGAAAGGACCGUGAACAAUUUUGAUUGAACAACAAAAUAUGUCACGACACAUGUGUAUAAGCUAUACACACACGACUUUAUAUGU